rnacentral:rRNA from 1 species
AUACGUAGGUGGCAAGCGUUGUCCGGAAUUAUUGGGCGUAAAGGGAGUCGCAGGUGGGAAUGUAAGUCAGUCUUAAAAGUGCGGGGCUCAACCCCGUGAGGGGAUUGAAACUACAUUUCUUGAGUGCAGGAGAGGAAAGUGGAAUUCCUAGUGUAGCGGUGAAAUGCGUAGAGAUUAGGAGGAACACCAGUGGCGAAGGCGACUUUCUGGACUGUAACUGACACUGAGGCUCGAAAGCCAGGGGAGC